rnacentral:rRNA from 1 species
AGUGAACGCUGGCGGUAGGCCUAACACAUGCAAGUCGAACGGCAGCAGAGUAGUAGCUAGCUCGUACGGGUGGCGAGUGGCGGAGGGGUGAGGCAUACAUGGAACUCUACUUUUUCGUGGGGGUUGACGGAGGGAAACUUACGCUAAUACCGGAUACGACUUACGGGUGAAAGCAGGGGAUCUUCGGACCUUGCGCGAUUGAAUGAGCCGAUGUCGGAUUAGCUAGUUGGCGGGGUAAAGGCCCACCAAGGCGACGAUCCGUAGCUGGUCUGAGAGGAUGAUCAGACACACUGGAACUGAGACGCGGUCCAGGCUCCUACGGGAGGCAGCAGAGGAGAAUAUUGGACAAUGGGCGGAAGCCUGCUCCAGCCAUACCGCGUGGGUGAAGAAGGCCUUCGGGUUGUAAAGCCCUUUUUUUGGGAAAGAAAAGCAGCAGGUUAAUACCCCGCUGUUCUGACGGUACCCAAAGAAUAAGCACCGGCUAACUUCGUG